rnacentral:lncRNA from 1 species
UUUUAGGUCAACUUUUCCUUAAAUGUAGCUGUGUCUCACAUUCUGACAAAUACGUUAUUCUUUGCAGCUUCUUUAGCACAAAUCCUGACCUCUUUUCUUCACAUCCUGCUGCGUAAGCUUGAAAAGCACAAUCCCCAGGGAAAUUAAAUAGCCUUCUCUGAGAUCGUGUAGGUGACUGCCGCACAGAUCCUCAGAACCAGUGAUUUCCUCCAUUUCCUGUCCUUGAAGCAGUCCCGCAGUACUGAGGUUUUCUAAAGGCUUUCACUGUUAACACCAAAAGAAAAAUAAAGCA